UACGGGGGGGGCAAGCGUUGUUCGGAAUUACUGGGCGUAAAGGGCUCGUAGGCGGCCAACUAAGUCGGAUGUGAAAUCCCCAGGCUCAACUUGGGAACUGCAUCCGAUACUGGAUGGCUUGAAUUCGGGAGAGGGAUGCAGAAUUCCAGGUGUAGCGGUGAAAUGCGUAGAGAUGUGGAGGAACACCGAUGGCGAAGGCAGCCUCCUGGGCCAAUACUGACGCUCAUGCACGAAAGCGUGGGGAGCAAACAGG
rnacentral:rRNA from 1 species